AAUCUAUCUGGACACUUAGUCUACAGCAGUGGGGCUAUUCAGCUGGUUUUAUCUGGUUUGGGUGAACUGAUAGCUGCGCCUGCGGGAAGCUCCGCCACCUGCCCAGACGUCAUCACGUCCCGUUUUUGAUGUUCCGCGCUUACACGUGCACUCCCAUUUGUGAACCAGUAGCGAAGCAUCUUGCCGCAAGUGGCAGCACCGUCGUGAUGAUCCAUACGGUAUUCUGCAGCAAGUGGUGACACCGGUGCAAAUAGCCUUGCGGUGUUCUGCUGUGAGGUGCAGCACUGGUGUGAUAAACCACAUGGCAUCCGGCCAUGAGUCCCUGCAAGUGGCUGCCGAAGAAGUCAGGCAGCGGUGGAACAAGUGUUGGGGCAUGGGAGGCCUGGAUGAGACGGUCUUAAGUUCUUAUCACAUUCAUAAAGGAGAAUAUGGAUCUUGGUAAACUGGUGUGAAAACUCUAGCCAAAAUCAACAGGCAAUCUGAUUCCUGCCAGGUUAAGUUCAUCUUUGUAUCUGUAUGUGGAACUAGAUGAAGACUUUGAAUUGAAGAAAGCAGAGCCAUUCAGUACAGGUAGUCCUUGAUUUACAACCAUUCCUUUAGAGGUCUUCGAAGUUACAACGGUGUUGAAAAUGGUGACAUGUGACCAGUCCUCGCACUUAUGAUCGUCGUAGUAUCCCCAUGGUCAUGUGAUCAAAAUCUGGG